UAGUUUUUGAAGCGAGGCUUGCUGCUAGGCACGGAAACGCGUAUGUGCACGGCUUUCGCGCUCAAAUCCAACUCAACCCCUGUGCACCUUUGUCUGGUCGAAACGAGUAGUUCGGGUUUGUAAAUAGUAAUCAGUAGAGAGGAUUACCUUUCGAAAGUGAACCUAACUCGGGCGAAAGCUUUGACUUGCAUUACAAACCACAUUUUGUUGUCUUGUGAAUGUUGCAUGCUCCUUGUGGGCGAAAAUAAAUACAACUUUCAACAACGGAUCUCUUGGCUCUCGCAUCGAUGAAGAACGCAGCGAAAUGCGAUAAGUAAUGUGAAUUGCAGAAUUCAGUGAAUCAUCGAAUCUUUGAACGCACCUUGCGCCCCUUGGUAUUCCGAGGGGCAUGCCUGUUUGAGUGUCAUGUUAAUCUCAAACCGCUUGUCUUUCUUAACUGAGGGACUUGAGGUUUGGACUUGGAGGUUCUUGCUGGCUUCAGUCGGCUCCUCUUAAAUGCAUUAGCUGGGCUUUGGCUCGCGUUUACGGUGUAAUAGUUAAUUCCUUUCACCCAGAGCGCUUGCCUAGGGGGCCUGCUUCUAAUAGUCUGCUCCGUCGGACAAGGCUAUUUGGCCUUCUUGACUCCUUUGACCUCA
rnacentral:rRNA from 1 species